rnacentral:rRNA from 1 species
UACGUAGGGUGCAAGCGUUUGUCCGGAAUUAUUGGGCGUAAAGAGCUCGUAGGCGGUCUGUCGCGUCUGCUGUGAAAACUCAGGGCUUAACCCUGAGCUUGCAGUGGGUACGGGCAGACUAGAGUGCGGUAGGGGAGACUGGAAUUCCUGGUGUAGCGGUGAAAUGCGCAGAUAUCAGGAGGAACACCGAUGGCGAAGGCAGGUCUCUGGGCAUUAAACUGACGCUGAGGAGCGGAAAGCAUGGGGAGCGAACAGG